rnacentral:rRNA from 1 species
GAACGCAUACUUUAGAGUACGAGUGGCAGACGGGUGAGUAACGCGUGAGACAUCUACCUUACAGCCCGGUAUAAAUAUCUAUAUAGAGGCGAAAAUCUUUAUAUAUGAGUGAAUCCCGGAUAUUUUGAAUAAAAAAAAAGGCAAAGAACCGUUGUAAGAUAAGCUCGCGUAGGAUUAGGUAGUUGGUAAGGUAAAAGCUUAUCCAAGCCGAUGAUCCUUAGCUGUUUUGAGAGGAUGAUCAGCCACACUGGGACUGAGACACGGCCCAGACGCUUUCGAGCGGCAGCAGUGAGGAAUUUUGGACAAUGGGCGAAAGCCUGAUCCAGCUAUAUCGCAUGAAUGAAGAAGGCUCAAUUGGUUGUAAAAUUCAUAGUUUCAUUGUAGAUUAUGACAUUGAUGAAAUGAAUAGUCCCGGCCAACUCCGUGC